rnacentral:tRNA from 2 species
GCGGACAUAGCUCAGUUGGGAGAGCGUCAGACUGAAGUCAAACUUCAAUCACUAUAAUCUGAAGGUCGUGUGUUCAAUCCACACUGGCCGCA